AUACGGAGGGUGCAAGCGUUACUCGGAGUCACUGGGCGUAAAGCGCGCGCAGGCGGUCUUUUAAGUUGGAUGUGAAAUCCUAUAGCUUAACUAUAGAACUGCAUCCAAAACUAUUAGACUAGAGUCUGGGAGAGGUAAGUGGAAUUAGUUGUGUAGGGGUAAAAUCCGUAGAGAUAACUAGGAAUACCAAAAGCGAAGGCAACUUACUGGAACAGUACUGACGCUGAGGCGCGAAAGCGUGGGGAGCAAACAGGAUUAGAAACCCGGGUAGUCC
rnacentral:rRNA from 1 species